rnacentral:rRNA from 1 species
UACGUAGGGGGCAAGCGUUGUCCGGAUUUAUUGGGCGUAAAGAGCGUGUAGGCGGUUUUACAGGUCCGCUGUGAAAACUCGAGGCUCAACCUCGAGCUGUCGGUGGAAACCGUAAGGCUAGAGUCCGGAAGAGGAGAGUGGAAUUCCUGGUGUAGCGGUGAAAUGCGCAGAUAUCAGGAAGAACACCCGUGGCGAAAGCGGCUCUCUGGAACGGUACUGACGCUGAGACGCGAAAGCGUGGGGAGCGAACAGG